rnacentral:rRNA from 1 species
GUGAACGCUGGCGGUAGGCCUAACACAUGCAAGUCGAACGGCAGCACAGUAAGAGCUUGCUCUUACGGGUGGCGAGUGGCGGACGGGUGAGGAAUACAUCGGAAUCUACUUUUUCGUGGGGGAUAACGUAGGGAAACUUACGCUAAUACCGCAUACGACCUACGGGUGAAAGCAGGGGAUCUUCGGACCUUGCGCGAUUGAAUGAGCCGAUGUCGGAUUAGCUAGUUGGCGGGGUAAAGGCCCACCAAGGCGACGAUCCGUAGCUGGUCUGAGAGGAGGAUCAGCCACACUGGAACUGAGACACGGUCCAGACUCCUACGGGAGGCAGCAGUGGGGAAUAUUGGACAAUGGGCGCAAGCCUGAUCCAGCCAUACCGCGUGGGUGAAGAAGGCCUUCGGGUUGUAAAGCCCUUUUGUUGGGAAAGAAAAGCAGCAGGUUAAUACCCCGCUGUCCUGACGGUACCCAAAGAAUAAGCACCGGCUAACUUCGU